CCUAGGGGGGGCAGCAGUGGGGAAUAUUGGACAAUGGGCGAAAGCCUGAUCCAGCCAUGCCGCGUGUGUGAAGAAGGCCUUCGGGUUGUAAAGCACUUUCAGUGGGGAAGAAAGCCUUGGGGCUAAUACCCUCGAGGAAGGACAUCACCCACAGAAGAAGCACCGGCUAACUCCGUGCCAGCAGCCGCGGUAAUACGGAGGGUGUGAGCGUUAAUCGGAAUUACUGGGCGUAAAGCGCGCGUAGGCGGUCUGAUAAGCCGGUUGUGAAAGCCCCGGGCUCAACCUGGGAACGGCAUCCGGAACUGUCAGGCUAGAGUGCAGGAGAGGAAGGUAGAAUUCCCGGUGUAGCGGUGAAAUGCGUAGAGAUCGGGAGGAAUACCAGUGGCGAAGGCGGCCUUCUGGACUGACACUGACGCUGAGGUGCGAAAGCGUGGGUAGCAAACAGGAUUAGAUACCCCAGUAGUC
rnacentral:rRNA from 1 species